GGGGGAGAGCUCCAUGCAUUGUGAUGGCAGCGAGAAGGCUGCAGAUCCUUCGACUGACCUCGGAGAAGACGUUGCUUCCCUCCUGGGGGAGAGCUCCAUGCAUUGUGAUGGCAGCGAGAAGGCUGCAGAUCCUUCGACUGACUUCGGAGAAGACGUUGCUUCCCUCCUGGGGGAGAGCUCCAUGCAUUGUGAUGGCAGCAAGAAGGCUGCAGCUCCUUCGACUGACUUCGGAGUGUCAACCAAGCAACCUGUUGAAUCCAAGCCAGUGAGAGUGAUAGUGACUUACAUAAAGGCACAACUGCAGAAUGAUGCCGAGGCCCCACGUGGCGUGGGUCCACCCAGCUCCCUGUCUGCAAUGCUUUCAGUCACUGAAGAUUAGAGUCUCCAUAAUCAUACUCGACCCUUUCCUUUCCUUUCCUUCCUGUAAUAUCCCACCAAGAACGCUUUCUCCAAAAUUCUACUACCUCCGUUAUGUUCUCAUCACGUAGACACCAGUCAGCUAAUGCCCCC
ensembl:lncRNA